CGCUGGAAGCCCAAUAGGCAAUUGUGCAAUUUUGUGCAGGCCGCAGCCCAACAUCGCUCGUCCUGGCCCUCCGGCAGCCACGUCUCUUCCAGACCAGUUCCAGCCUUCCUCGCAUAGUCGCAUCUCUUCCUUUUCUCAAAAAAAAAAACAAAAACAAUUCGCAUCUCGUCCUCGCAUUUCUCGUCCCUUCCGCUGUUCCGCAGGGGCCGCCGCUCCUGCUGCCCCGAGCCGGCAGCCUUCACAUGCACAUCUCGUUCCCGAUCUCGGCGUGCCCGCCGUCGGCCGCUGAUUUCGCCCCUGGCUCCGCGCAUCUCGCCGGCAGCCUCGGACCGAGCAGGAUCGUCGACGCCGACCUCGGCUCGUGUCCACUCUGGGCCUACCCCUCCCCAGCCUGUAGACACAGCCGCAUCUAUCAGUCAACUCUACUCGCUGGACCAAUCCUUUAUAAGGCUUCAAUUUCGGGAGGCUCCCGGAGCAGCUGGUUCGAUCUACUCCAGCGCCAGACUCAGCUUCAACCACUGAUGGUGACUAAAAUGUGCGCCUUGCCAUGGUGUUGUUUCUAUCUCUAAUCUUUAUUUCUGGAGUGGUGGCAUUUAUUUCUCUGCUUAGUUUGCAAACUUUCCUUCAUUAGUUUUUCGAUAAAACUCGGCAACAAUGUUUCCCCUUUGCCGGACUAACCGCCAGGAUGCUGUUACCGGUCUGAACACUGUCAUGUUUCCUUCAAAAUAUAUGUUCUAGGAGAGCAUGAGUUCAAUGAUUUAUGCUGCCACUUCAGGAGAUUAUCCAAAAAAUCUAUGACUUAGUGAUGAUAGAUGUGUCUGAUUUGCAAAUUUUGCUGCAUACUCAAGUUGUAUCAAAAGACUACUUGCAUUUCUCUUAAGGUUAAAAUACUCUUCACAGCAAGAAUUUAGAAUACCGUUUAUUUCAUUCUUGUGCUAUGCCAGCUCAUUUAUGGGCAUCUUCAUUGAAUUUAGACAAAUAUUAACUUUACCCAUAUUUUGAAUUGAACGAUUAAUGCUAUCGCAUUAGAAAGCUUUUCAUGUAUAGACACAAUGGAAGAUGAUUAUUGAUCAGAAAUUAUCCACUGUAACAUUGUGGUCCCUUUUCUGUAUAUUGUUGGUGCAAGGAAAGGUACCCAGGUUGCUAAUAUUUUGAGAGGGUGUGGGUUAUUUGCAAUCUUUCUGAAGUUUUUAGGAAGUUCAGAUCAUUCGAUUCCUUCCAAAAAAAGAAAGAUCAGUUAGGAUUGGUAUGCGUACACAUGACUCCACUUGGGCAAAAACAGGGACGUUAAGCAAUAAACUGAUAACAAAAUUCUUAAGAUGGCGGUAUGAGGCAGAGGCAUUGCUCGACACAAAACACAAACGUCAGGGUUGAUGUACUAGUCAUGGUUGGUACUAGUAGAUAAUAACAAUACAUUUUAAGAAAGGCGACGAAAGCAUUUUUCAGGGUGCCGGCUAGAGGUGAAGCUGGAUUCUUCAUGUUUCCCUAUGAAUGUCUAUGAUUUUCAAAUGGUAUCCUGUCUCAUCUUUGAUACCGAACAUAAAAUAAUUAUUCAGUUCUUCAUUUUGUUGUGUAAAAUCAUAUCUACUCUUUUGUGUAAACCAGUGGGUUUUGUUCCAUCCGGGAUAUUGAACUAAUUUGAUUUAUCGUGCAUCUACUAAAUGCAAAUAAUACUUUUGAUGGGAGACUACCUCCAAAUCAGCUAAUAAUCGCAGCACGUUAGGAUAAAAUACAAGGUACCAUCGAAUUCAACAGGAAGGUUAUUCUGCAUGUCCCAGACAGGUUUGGGCGUCAUCAUUGCUUAAGGUGUGGAAGCAUUGAAAAAUCUGGUGGAGGACAUGAAAGAGAACAUAAUCGCGUGCUAGACCUUGAGGCAGAAGGGGUAGCAAUGUGGCAGCCGCGACGGGAUGCUAAAGACAGAUGCCUCAGGUGAAGUAAUCUCAGCGGAUCUUGCACAAAGUGCACAUGGUGAUGGAGGCAAAGCCGAGUUUGGCCCGUGAUCUCAGCGGAUCUCGCACAAAGUGCAAAUCCCAACAAAAGAAAGUGGUUUGUUGGAUCUAGAUAGAAAGGCCAAGAAAAUUGGUUGGAAAGGAAAAACUGUCAGGUUGUUCCGUUGUUUAUCUAUGCCACCAAAAUGAGAAACUGGCAGAAAGUACAAUCUAUAAUAAUAACGAGAGGAUACUCUCUAAGCAACCUAUAACGCACGUGACCGUUUUCUUCUUUCCAGUCAAUUGUGUACCUCAAGUUUGAUAACAAAGAGGAGGGUUCCAAUUUUGGUAGCAUCUAAAAAACUUCGGAACAACCUAUUAUGCACGUGUGUCAAUUUUGUUCACCUUUGCAUCUAGAUCCAACAACCCUCCAAUUUCCUUUACCCUCGACCAAUCUUCCUCAUCUCCCCCAAGUAUAACCUUGCAUCUUCCAGCGCCUUCGGGAAGAAGACCUUCAAUCUAAACAGCCCCUCCCUGGGCCCUAACAUCCGAGAGGUUUUCUUCCUUGGUAUGCUCUCCUCUCUCCAUCAUUCAGGAUCUGCAUGUUGCCGGUCGCCGCGACUUGGGCCAGAGUCGCAUUUGCCACUACCACCAUGCGCGCAUUGUCCGUGGAUCCGCAUGAGAUCCCUACAUCCAAGACUUUUUUCCUUGGCGUCCCAUCACGGAUGACAUUGUUACCCCUCAAGGUCUGGCACUCAAUUAUAUAUGUUUUAAGAAAAAAUUGAUAAGAGAAAAUAAAUUGGAAACCCGUUCAAGGCCUCUAUUAUCCAAAGAAUUUUUGGAGGAUUCUAGUCCUUUGAAUUUUUCCUAAGUCCAUCGUUUGAUUCAUAGGAUUGCAAACCAUCGUUUAGUUCGUGUGCACUAGAUUUCAUAGAAAAAUUUACAUCCAUUCCAACCUCUUGAAAGAAUCCAACGUUUUUCUUGUGCACAACCAAACCUUGAUCCUGCAUUCUUUCUUUUCCUACGUUUCAACAAUCCAGCGAAUGAAAAGCCCCCCUCAAAGGCCGGAACGAUCUGCUUAGCCCAUAUAUUGAGGUGUUUCCAGGCUUGUCAAUUUAGCCACCAUAAUAGUCUUUCGUCUGCCCUGUAGCUUCUAGCUGCCAGAGCUGUUAUUUGCGUUCACUUUGUGGUUCUGGAUAUUCUUAAAAUCAAUGGGGACUCUUCUCCUUUUUUUUCGCUUGGUCCUCUCAUGUUUCUCCUCUCCUGCAUGGAGAUCCUCCCUGUUCGACAGAAUGGGCAAGGGUGUAACAACAAGAGAGGAGCUGAGUAGAGUGGCAAGGACUGCAUCAACACCCUUCCCAAUGAGCUCGAGCAGCAAGUGCUCUCCUUGUUGCCCCCAAAUUAAAUGGGGUUGUGUGGAACUGUGUGUUGUCCCGCCGGUGGCACCACCUCUGGAGGUCCACGACCAGCCUUCUCCUCUGUUAUGCCGGACCCGGGACAUGAUUGAAGAGCCCUCAAAAAUACAACAAGUUCCUCAACCAUCUGAUUUUCCAUCACGAACUGUCACCCCUUGUCCACUGCCAAAUCAGUCCUUAUCCAGAUGCCGCCCGUCACGCAUAUCCAUACAUAGAAAUGUGGAUUUAGUAAGCUCCAAUGCGCUAGGUUCAGGUGCUUGAAAUCAAAGUCUACAACGGUAUUGGUGACAGAAUAAAAGUAGAUACUCAUUUUGUUGAUUUCUUUGCGGAUACGCCCGAUUUGCGUCUACUAAAAGAUGUAAAUUUGGAAGAAUGUGGCAUUUGGACAUAGGACAUGUUAUCCAAAUUGCUAUAACAUUUGAGCAUUUCUAUAUGUCACGUAGAUGAUGAGAUUCGGGAUUUGAUUCCUGCACCAUGAUAUGUCUUUACUACAUGCACUUCUAUCUGAUGAGUUUCAAGGCAGGACUCGUUUUCUUGAAAACAUGCCAUUGCUAGAAACAACUUACGUCAGGAUAGACAUCAACAGUUAAGACCAUGGAGAUUGUACAGACGAAAGCUGCGUUGGUUGUCCUGUUGGCGAUUAUCAGAGUGUGCUUCUCAGUGGCUUGUCGAAUGCUAUCCAUCUGGAGUUGAUAUCUCAUCCUAAAAUUGUUAUCAUAUUUACUAUUGUUUCCACUCCUAUCAUUGUUUGCUAUUUCAUUGGUUAAUUUUGUUUGUUGUUUGUAUCACCUAAACACAUACUUUAUUAAGUUUAGGGAUUAUAAUGAUAAAGCAUUCUUAAAAUGUGGUUUGUACUUUUCAAACUUCUGAACGUCGUGUAAUUUGGGAAUGUAGGAUUGAUCAGUUACUAUUAAUUUCAUUAUAGCUUCAGAGUUGAGCACUUUGCUUGCAUGGUCAGUACGUCUAGAUGCAAAGGAACUUAACCAUGCACCAUGAGUUAUGAACAGUUGUUGUUGCUGUUUUUUACUAAAUACUCCCUCUGAUCCUAAAUUCUUGACUCAAAUUUGCCCAAAUAUGGAUGUAUCUAUUCUUAAAAAACAUCUAGAUACAUGUAAUAUUUCGACAACAAUUUAGGAUCCGAGGGAGUAGAAACCUACACUUUAAGACACUGAACUAUUCAUGUGUACUUUGUGCUAUCAAGCCAUUAUUAUUUGUAUUUGAGUUUGCAAUGAUCCGUUUUCUGUUUUUCUGAUAUCCUGAGCCAUGCUAUACAAUGUCUUCCCAUAUACAAGUGGCAUAAACUAUCAUUUGAUGAACUUUCUGGUUACCAUAGAAUCUAUAAGUUACUGAUAUUUGUUUUAGUUUUUCUGAUUAUAUGUUUGUCAACUUAAUUCAGCUAGACAAUAGCUAGUCUGCGAGUUUUUUAAAUUCUU